UCUAUUGCUCAGGUUGAAGCAGAAUUUGCCCGUCUUACAUCUGUUGACCUGAAAGGGUUCCUUUUUGCUGUGCUAGGUUCGUGGAGCUGUACAAAAUCAAGAGCGGCAUAGGAGGGCUAACUAGGCUCAUAAGAUGCUUCGGUGAUGAUAGCCCUACACAAAGGAAGAGGACAGAGGACCUCAUUUUCUAAAGGAAGAUCCCUCACACACUUUCAAGACUGUGAAGGGGGAAAAAUAAACUUUGUUACACCCCAGCCCAGGGAAACCCGGCGUGCAACAUAAGGAAAAUAAAAAUAAGGAGAACUGCCCCCACACUCCCUGCUCUCAAGGAAGACGAACCAAAAAGACAACUGUCACGGAUUUCACAACAGCCAGUCAGUUUAUUAAGGCCCAAAAGGUAGCGGGCGUCAGGGUGAGCAUGGCCAAAACAACAAACCAAAAACUCUAGAAAUGAAAUGCAGCUGGCUUACCUUCACAGAAAACCCCAAAAGAAAAUUACAGGUGUCUUACCUGCCUCUCUAACCAAAAACAGGAGAAAAGGUUCCCAAAGAAAAAUGGCUUCUCACCCCUACAGCUACCGAGUGAAAUUAAAUAUUGACAACUAGUGAUGGGACGUUCUGUAUCGAGGCUUCGAAGCGUGUGUCGAGUAAUGGAGGGGGCGUUUCCGCGAAGCGCGUAUCGAGGCUUGCUUCAUUUAUGGGAGGAGCUGAAAAUGAUGACGUCCGAAGCCUCGCUGCCCGGCUGUACCACGUGACUGGUUCAUGAAGCGGUUCGAACUUUUCCGCGAGCUAUGACAGCGAUAUAAACCCCUCAGACUUCAUUCAAAAUUUGGGUGUUUGAUGGAGAGUUACGAUUAGUGAGAGUUUGGAGACAGUUUGGAGAAAGUUUGGAGGUUUAUGAGAGUGAGGAGAGAAAGUCAGGAGAGGAUGGAGCCAGCUAAGAAGAGGAGGAUGUCCUCCCCUGUGUGGGAACAUUUUGAUUUUAUUCCCCCAACAAGGUGAAGUGUUUGCUAUGUGCCAGGGAGCUGGGAUAUAACAACAACACCUCAUCCAUGCUCAGGCACUACAGAGCUUUGCAUGAGAAUAAGGGGAACACUCAUUGUGGAGCAAGACCAGGAGAACAAUCUCAAAUAGAUGAAGACCUGGUUAGCAUGGUGAUUGCGGACUCCCAGCCAUUUAGCAUUGUGGAGGACAAAGGAUUUAAAAGAUCUGUUAAAUCAUUAAAUCCUAGCUAUGUUCUCCCCACUAAAAAGGUCAUAAAAGCAGUGAAAAUCUAGUUUUUACAGAAUAAAAUGUGAACAGGCAGGACUGAGGCACAAAGCCUCAGUGUGUAGCUGUCCAUACCUCAACGUUACAAAAGCACAACCACUGUCCACACCCC
ensembl:lncRNA